GUGUUAAGAUGAAAUUUGUAUCAUCAAUUAAUUGGAAUAUUGUAAAAUAGUACAAUUUGUUGACCAGAAUAAAGAUUGGGAAAUAUUAUUCAGUUACAACAAGAGUGGUAUUGAGCCUUUAAAACACAGAUCUUAUUUCGUUUCGUUUUUUAUAGUUCAAAAUUUCGUUUUACUUGUCUUUACAACACUAGGAUGGAUCUGGAAGAGUUGUUAUCAUUGAUGUGUUCUGGAUGAUGUGAGGGACUCUUCCAGAUCCUAGUGUAAUAAAGGCAAGUAAAAUGAAAUUUUGAACUAUAAAAAUGAAACGAAAUAGGAUCUGUGUUUUAAUCUGAUUGGAAAUUAUACAGCGUAUUAUUCAUAAAAAUAUGCUCAAACCAAUCUGAUUAAAACACAGAUCCUAUUUCGUUUCGUUUUUUAUAGUUCAAAAUUUCGUUUUACUUGUCUUCACUACACUAGGAUCUGGAAGAGUUGUUAUCAUUGAUGUGUUCUGGAUGAUGUGAGGGAUUAGCCAAUGAAAUGGUCUGUUACGUCGAGCUUUCGGCUUGUGUUACAUUGAACUGUGGGUAAUCCACUAGAAACAUCAAUGCUGAUUGGUUAAUCAAAUAUCUGAUGUCAUAGGGUUAAAAGCCGCUUGUAUGACCUCUGAUGCGAUACCCCAAAACAACUGUUCAGAUCUUCAUGUAGUAGAGGACAUCGAAAGCAUAAAAAAACGAAACGAAAUAUAGAUCUGUAUUUUAAUCAGAUUGCAAUAUUGUUUAACAGUCAAUAUUUGUGUUGUAUUCUAUUAUAAAAUGUAUUUGAAAACUUAUAUUAUUUUGAUUCUAAUAAUAACUUCAUUUCAUUGACAAAGAGCUAAAAAUAUGCUUGAAGCAAUAUUCUGCAUAAUAUCAGUAUGAUCAUUAGCUACAGGCCCAAGAAUCUUCUAAUGUAUGGAGAGGCAUAAUAUAACAACUUGAACCUAUAUGACUUGUUACAAAGUUAAUCUAACCAAAUCCACACUUUGUAUAUGUCAAUUAACUGAAGAAGUUGUAUUUAUAUGUAUAUUAAGCUAUGUAGAAUUAUUAGAAAUCUCUUUUUAUAAAUAUCAAAUUGUCUGCAAGUUUUGGGAAGAAUUCCUUCUUGUGUACAAACAGAAUUCUCCUCCCUCGAAUCUUUUUUUCCAUAUGUAAAGUAUGUGGAGCUUGUAUGAAAGGUGUGCCCGAUGGAAUCAUUUGACCUGUGCUAAAAGAGUUGAUAGAAAGACAGCUGUAUAAACAAAAUUCUCCUCCCUUGUAGUGCACAUAGUUAUAUGUAACUCAACUGUUUACACUUCACAGGUAACUAUAAUAGUUAUAUGUAACUCAAGGUAGCUAUAUAUAAUAGUUAUAUGAAACUCAAUAGUUCACACUUCACAGGUAACUAUAAUAGUUACACAUAACCCAAUAGUUCACAGGUAACUAUAAUAGUCACCCAAUAGUGUACCUUAGUAACUAUAAUAGUCACCCAAUAGUGUACUGGUAACUAUAAUAGUCACCCAAUAGUGUACUGGUAUCUAUAAUAGUCACCCAAUAGUGUACCUUAGUAACUAUAAUAGUCACCCAAUAGUGUACUGGUAACUAUAAUAGUCACCCAAUAGUGUACUGGUAUCUAUAAUAGUCACCCAAUAGUGUACCAUAGUAACUAUAAUAGUCACCCAAUAGUGUACUGGUAACUAUAAUAGUCACCCAAUAGUGUACUGGUAUCUAUAAUAGUCACCCAAUAGUGUAUCCAUGGUAACUAUAAUAGUCACCAAAUAGUGUACUGGUAACUAUAAUAGUAACCCAAUAGUUCACAAUGUAACCCAAUGUUUUCUAAAUGUUAAACCACAUUCCAUUCUAAACCGCCAUCUAUAUAUACUGUCAAUAGUUUUAAUUGUAAAUACUACAGAUUUUUGAGUCUGUAUUAAAAUGUAAAGAUGUUAAAGAUGACAAUGAUCUUAUUGUAAAUAAAUCAUGGAUAGAAUGAUUGUAAAUGUUUUAUAUAUUUCAUUUAUACACCAUUUCGAUAGUUCAUUUUAUUCAUGUUUCAUUUGAAUCAGCGCCUGUCUUAGCUUAGGUAUUGCUGGACCCAAAUGACCCAGUGGUCAGUUUUAAUGACAUGAUGUAUUAUAAAUGACUAGAAAUUACUACUUUUUAAAUUUAAAAUGAUGCCCUGGUAGGAAAUCAUAUGUAGAUUUCUUUCCAAGUCUGAUAAAUAACUGAUAUAAUGGUUCUUCAUAAACCUUGGGUGUGUUCUCAGUUCCCAAGGUUUAUUGCUAUUUUUAGAAGGAAGUGAAAUGAGGUUUAACAUAGUACUGUUCUUCUCGGACUGGGCUAAUACAGAAGAAACCCACCUUCCCACUCUUGCCUAGUGGUCUUAAUAAAUAGUUCAUAGCUUUUAGUCAUUUUACAAUUGAAUUCAGCACUUGUAUUUGAAACAAGAAUUUGAAAGAAAUUCGAAAUUUCCCUCAAAUGUCCGUCUUCAUUAGCCCAGUGCAAAAAAGUAAGACUUAAUUUAUGAAUUUGGUUUGAUUAUAGUUAAACACCAGUUUUAAUCAAAUUCCUGUGUAGUAGUACCUUAUUUAUCACGUUUUACAUAAACUGGGACUUCCCUAAUAUACACUACAUACCGAAGUGCAAGAAAAAUCAAAAGUAUACCCCAUUUCGUUCUUAAGUGCAUCUCAGACUUUUGCUGGUUAUUCUGAAUUCUAACUUUUUUUUCUUCCACCCAUAAUGAUAUGAACAAAUGAAAUACACUGUAAAUUGUAUAUAGAUAACAAACAAACCAACAAAAAAACAAAUAUUUGUUAUGUUUACUGUAGUAAUAAAUGUUAAUUAUUUUAUUAUAUGUAUUAAAUAUAAUGCUUACUUCUUGUUGUAAUUGUUUUACUAUAAAUAUAUCAUAUACGAGACAUAACCAUCACCCGGCCCCAACAAGUCCAAUCUGAUUAAAACACAGAUCCUAUUUCGUUUCGUUUUUUUUUAUAGUUCAAAAUUUCGUUUUAUUUGUCUUUACUACACUAGUAUCUUGAACAGUUGACAACUGUCAGUUGUUACAUAACCCGCGUUCUGAUUGAUGUGAGGGAUUAGCCAAUGAAACGAUCUGUUGCAGCUAAUUCUUGGCUUGCGAUACACGGAACUGUGGGUAUCCUACUAGAAACAUCAAUGCUGAUUAGUUAAUUUAAUGUCUGAUGUCAUAGGGUCAAAUGUCGCUCGUAUAACCUAAGACGUGACCUCCCACUACAACUGGUCAGAUCUUUAUGUAGUAGAGGCCUUCGAAAUAUUACCCCCCCCCCCCCAAAAAAAAAAAAAAAAACCCAAAAAAAACCAAACCAAAAAACAAAAACGGAACGAAAUAUAGAUCUGUAUUUUAAUCAGAUUGCAAUAAGUGUGCAACUGGCAUUGCAUUUUUGUCUUUGAACUGUAAUUAGCGGACACUAGAUCAUGAUACAGUAAACGAGUAUAUUAAAUUUAGCAAUUUUAUUUAUAAAAAAUUCAUUUGUCCUGUUAUACCAUUGCCUGUAACGUUUUUUUUACCAUAAAUUUGAUUUAAUUUGAUUUAAUUUGAUUUGAUUGAUUAUACAGAUGUAUAGUUUUAAUUUAAGCAGGUUUUUAUGGGUUAUCCUUAAGAGGACGAUCAUUCAUAAUAUCAUUACCUUUUCUCAUCUUAUUAUCAUGUAACUUUAUAUUAUCAUCUAUAUUGUCAUGUCUGAUAUGCCUCUUGGAAAAAUAAUUAAAUAAAAAAACUUGUAUUUCUGAUA